rnacentral:lncRNA from 12 species
GUGGAGAUAUCAUCGCAGCCAGUUUUGGAAAGUACCAUCUGCCGCACUCCUCCACGAAGCCUCACCCUCCUCCACAGCCAGAUGACUGCGCCUUCUCGGGGCUCCCGGGAGACCCGGCGCUCGUCUCUGUAGGACACCCACCACACACCGACGAGAUCCUCCUCAUAGGUCAGCUUCUCCCCCCUGGCCGGCUCCUGCCCCCACCUGCAAGCUGCUGCCUGGCAGGACAGACAGGAUGUUAGUGCACAGAAAUUAUGAGCCCGUUCAAAAGGAGUAUCAUACCUGUGCCUUCCAGAAGGCUCUCCUGGACUCGUGAGUUAUGCCGAGGUUAAGACUGAUUAGCUGCAUCAAGCUGUAAGUGAAAUGAAAUAUGCCUUUGCAUCUUCAGGAACCAUCCGUUUGACUUACCACUUGUCCGAUCCAUGGCAGUGGGUGAAUUUAUCACACCAGCAUGAAACCCAGCACUAGCUUGUUUCCCACCGCCUGACUUGUAAUCAACAACCCACUCUUGGAGAUUUUGGGCUGCCUCACCUGGUUAUGCCAAUAAAUCUGAGUGAAUGGCUGCUUGAUUUGUUAUU